rnacentral:rRNA from 1 species
UACGAAAGGUGCAAGCGUUACUCGGAAUCACUGGGCGUAAAGCGCACGUAGGCGGACUUACAGGUCAAUUGUGAAAUACCUGGGCUCAACCCAGGAACUGCAGUUGAAACCGUUUGUCUUGAAUACUUGAGAGGGUGGGGGAAUACCUGGUGGAGAAGUGAAAUUCGUAGAGAUCAGGUGGAACACCGGAGGCGAAGGCGCCUGCCUGGCAAUGUAUUGACGCUGAGGUGCGAAAAUGCGGGGAGCAAACAGG